CGCUCGACGGAUUGCGACCGUUUGAUUGUGGAAUGAGAAGAGGGCACCGGGGUCAUCAUACCCGUUGGCCGCGAAAUUUGCGGCGAUGAGGACCGCUUCGCAGUUGAAGAAGAGGAGGAAGAAGAAGACAUGUACCGAGAAGUAACUUCGCGGGAUUUGGGGCGGCGAGGAGCGAGAGCAUUGUCGGGGUCCGAUGGCAACAGAGGAGGCCUUGUUGGGUUGUGGUUUCGCGUGGCUGGUGCCCGGUGUCGUUUUGGGAUUUAUUGUAGUGGAAACCGCAGCCACCAUUAUUGAAACCAAAAUUGAAAAAUCACUUCACAUAUCAUUCUUCAAGGCCACUGUCCCAAAACCCUAACAUUCACUUAGUGCCUGUUUAUCACCAUAAACCCCUCCUUAAGUACAAUUUAAAAAGAGAAAAGAGAGGGAGUUGCACAGGGAGAGAUUUGUAAGCGAUAAAGUGUAAUUUGCAAGGGGAAGAAGCAACUUUCUAAUCAACUCUUUAAAGAGAAAAGAAAUUGACCGGAAAAUUGACCGUUACCGAUCACCAACGAGGGAGGGUGUGGACUGUGGGGGCGCUGUUUAGGCGAAAUUUGGGAGCAUAACUGUCGUACUAGGCUUUUUCGUUUGGC
rnacentral:misc_RNA from 1 species